rnacentral:tRNA from 1 species
AUCGGGAAGGCGGAAUGGUUGACGCACCGAACUUAAAAUUCGGCUUUUGCAGCUUGAAAAACUGCUCUUGAUG